AGCCUUUUGUAUUUAUAAAAGGUGAUGUCUGCCCAGUGACGGGAGUUUAACGGCCGCGUUUUAGUGCUAAGGUAGCGUAAUAAUUUGUCUUUUCAUUGGAGGCUAGUAUGAAUGGCGCAACGAGGCUCAACUGUCUCUACCCAUUAAAAAAAAAUUGAUUUGAAUUUGAAAAAUAAUUCAUUCUUAUGAUGGACGAGAAGACCCUAUAGAGUUUUAGUGGAUAUCACUUUUAUUGGGGCAAUAUAAGAAUCAAGAAAUUCUUAGAUCUUAACGUUAGUAAAGAUCCUCUAAGAGAAAUAAAGAGAAACUACCUUAGGGAUAACAGCGUUAUCCUGCCAGAGAGUGCUAAUUGAAGGCAGGGUUUGCGACCUCGAUGUUGGAUUAAGAUAACUUUAAGGUGCAGAAGCUUUAGAAGUAGGCCUGUUCGGCUUUUAAUUUCUUACAUG
rnacentral:rRNA from 1 species